rnacentral:lncRNA from 10 species
UCUGAACCGUGCUUUUCUUCUCCCCAUUUUCCCACCCAAUUUCAGGAUGAAAAAGCACUCUGACGUCUUGAAAGCUGGCAGCUCUCUGUUUGGAAAAUCUCUGCCCAGUGAAAAAAUGUACCGACAAGAUUACUAAGUAACACAGUCUUCUGGGAAUGCCUUAUCAAUGCCAGCUAUUUGAAGAGCACCCAAAGUCAAACUAGUGCUCCGCGCUGGCAGUCUGGAAAAGGCAGAUGUAUAUUUCAGUCAGUAAUGGAUAUUACCACCAGCAUUUAAUCAAGGAAGCAGGAAGUGAUCCAUCACUGCUAGCUGCUAUCUACAGGAAUUCUGUCUACAGGCAGGGCAGACCAGUCAGCCAGUAUCUUCCCGAAGUACCUUGGUCUUCCACCAUCCAUCCCACUGAGAGAGCCGUUCCUCUAAUGAGGCAUUUCUAAGCAGCUGUCCAUUGAACUCUACCCCUUGAGAUAUCCUGAGAAAUAGGAAUCUAUGGUUCCUAUUGUUUG